rnacentral:rRNA from 1 species
CCUGCGGAAGGAUCAUUACAGAGAAAUUGCCCUCCGGGGUAGAUCUCCCACCCUUUGUUUAUAUUACCUUUGUUGCUUUGGCAGGCCCGUCUUAUGACCACUGGCCUAGGCUGGUCCGCGCCUGCCAGAGGACCCUAAACUCUUGAUUUUUAUAAUGUCCGAGUCACAAACAAAUAAGUUAAAACUUUCAACAACGGAUCUCUUGGUUCUGGCAUCGAUGAAGAACGCAGCGAAAUGCGAUAAGUAAUGUGAAUUGCAGAAUUCAGUGAAUCAUCGAAUCUUUGAACGCACAUUGCACCCUCUGGUAUUCCGGGGGGUAUGCCUGUUCGAGCGUCAUUUCAACUCUCAAGCCCAGCUUGGUAUUGGGUGUCACCUGGCAAUGGUGUACCUUAAAAUCAGUGGCGGUGCUGUCUGGCUUCAAGCGUAGUAAAACAAUCGCUUUGGAGGUUUGGAUGUGUUCUUGCCAUCAACUCCUAAUUUAUCAAAGGUUGACCUCGGAUCAGGUAGGGAUACCCGCUGAACUUAAGCAUAUCAAUAAGCGGAGGA